rnacentral:lncRNA from 1 species
AUAUGUUUUGAUAUAUCAUUAUUUUCUAUUUCCAGAAAACAAUAAAUUGUUAAACAUCAAUAUCAUCUAGGUUAAGUAUACGAACAACACAAAUUCAAACAUCACAAAAAAAUAUUUACAUAAACAUUAUAAUACAAUGACUUAAUCAGAAAAUACAAUUCAAAAAAACAAUAUUCAAAAGAAUAGUUAUAUACUUAAUAUUUAAAAAUCAAAGAUAUUUUUGCUAAAAUUGUACUUACCUGGCUAAGGAGAUCGACCAUCUUUUUACGGAUCGAUCGAUUGUUUAGCAUAUGGUCGAUCCGAAAAUACUCUGCAGUUUGAUUAAAUAUCUAAAACAUUUAUUCCAACACUCAACAGAUAAUUUUGCUAAAUAUGAUAACUAGAUAGCCAACAAAAUU